rnacentral:rRNA from 1 species
UGAGGAAUAUUGGGCAAUGCCCGCAAGGGUGACCCAGCAACGCCGCGUGGAGGAUGAAUGUCGUAAGAUUGUAAACUCCUGUUAGAGGGGAAGAAUAGUACCGGUUGGACCGGUAUAUGACUGUACCCUCAGAGAAAGCCCCGGCUAACUACGUGCCAGCAGCCGCGGUAAUACGUAGGGGGCAAGCGUUGUCCGGAUUUACUGGGUGUAAAGGGCGCGCAGGCGGGAUAAAAAGUCAGUGGUGAAAUCCUACAGCUUAACUGUAGAACUGCCUUUGAUACUUUUAUUCUUGAGUUCGGGAGGGAGAGACGGAAAUCCAGGGGUAGUUGUGGAAUACGUAGAUAACUGGAGGAACACCAGGUGCGAAGGCGGUCUCUUGGUCCGACACUGACGCUGAAGCGCGAAAGCGUGGGGA